rnacentral:rRNA from 1 species
UCUGGUGGCGACCGGCGCACGGGUGAGUAACACGUAUGCAACCUACCUGUAAGAGGGGAAUAACCCGGAGAAAUUCGGACUAAUACCGCAUAAUACCUUUAAGCUGCAUGGCUUAAAGGUUAAACAUUUAUGGCUUACAGAUGGGCAUGCGUAACAUUAGAUAGUUGGUGAGGUAACGGCUCACCAAGUCAACGAUGUUUAGGGGUUCUGAGAGGAAGGUCCCCCACACUGGUACUGAGACACGGACCAGACUCCUACGGAAGGCAGCAGUGAGGAAUAUUGGUCAAUGG